rnacentral:rRNA from 1 species
GGGGAAUUUUCCGCAAUGGGCGAAAGCCUGACGGAGCAACGCCGCGUGAGGGAUGAAGGCCUCUGGGCUGUAAACCUCUUUUCUCAGGGAAUAAGAACUGAAGGUACCUGAGGAAUCAGCAUCGGCUAACUCCGUGCCAGCAGCCGCGGUAAUACGGAGGAUGCAAGCGUUAUCCGGAAUGAUUGGGCGUAAAGCGUCCGCAGGUGGUUUAUCAAGUCUGCUGUCAAAGAGUUUGGCUCAACCAAAUAAAGGCAGUGGAAACUGACAGACUGGAGUGCGGUAAGGGCAGAGGGAAUUCCUGGUGUAGCGGUGAAAUGCGUAGAGAUCAGGAAGAACACCGGUGGCGAAAGCGCUCUGCUGGGCCGUAACUGACACUGAGGGACGAAAGCUAGGGGAGCGAAUGGGAUUAGAUACCCCAGUAGUC